AUUGAACGCUGGCGGCAGGCCUAACACAUGCAAGUCGAACGAGUGGCGGACGGGUGAGUAAUGUCUGGGAAACUGCCUGAUGGAGGGGGAUAACUACUGGAAACGGUAGCUAAUACCGCAUACCAUCGGAUGUGCCCAGAUGGGAUUAGCUAGUAGGUGGGGUAACGGCUCACCUAGGCGACGAUCCCUAGCUGGUCUGAGAGGAUGACCAGCCACCCUGGAACUGAGACAGGGUCGCGACUCCUACGGGAGGCAGCAGUGGGGACUAUUGCACAAUGGGCGCAAGCCUGAUGCUGCCCUGCCGCGUGUAUGCAGAAGGCCUUCGGGUUGUAAAGUACUUUCAGCGUUGAGGCGUUACCCGCAGAAGAAGCACCGGCUAACUCCGUGCCAGCAGCCGCGGUAAUUC
rnacentral:rRNA from 1 species